UCCGACGGUUUUUCGGGACUUUUCUACAAGGUCUGCUGGGACAUAAUUUCGCACGAUUUUAUGGCGGUAAUGCUCGAGUUGCACAGGAAUAAGUUUUUGUCCUUUGGCUUAUUGAACUCUUCCAUCAUCACUUUGCUGCACAAGAAAGAGUGUUCCCUGGAGGUGGCUGAUUUCAGACCGAUAAAUUUGAUUCAUGGUGCAGUGAAAAUCUUUGCCAAAGUGUUGGCUGUUCGGCCCGCUCCCCUACUGCCGGCCCUCGUCUCUCAAGUGCAGAGUGCGUUCAUUAGCCGUAGGAGCAUACAUGAGAAUUUUAAGUUUGUGCACAAUACAGCCAGAUGUUUGCACAGGAAGAAAGUCUCGUCGGUGUUGAUGAAAAUUGAUAUCUCUAAGGCAUUUGACACCCUGUCUUGGGAAUUCAUUAUUCAGAUUUUAAAGAGGAGAGGUUUUGGGAACCGUUGGUGUUCUUGGAUCUGCGGCCUUCUACGCACUGCUUCCUCCUUAGUGCGGGUUAAUGGUGAGACUAGUGAGCCUUUCUCUCUGGGCAGUGGGGGUGAGGCAAGGUGA
rnacentral:rRNA from 1 species